rnacentral:rRNA from 1 species
CAGUAGCCGCGGGAAUACGAAGGUCCCAAGCGUUGUUCGGAAUCACUGGGCGUAAAGGGAGCGUAGGCGGCGUGGUAAGUCAGAUGUGAAAUCCCGGGGCUCAACCCCGGAACUGCAUCCGAUACUGCCAUGCUUGAUGGUUGGAGAGGUAGCUGGAAUUCUCGGUGUAGCAGUGAAAUGCGUGGAUAUCGAGAGGAACACUCGUGGCGAAGGCGAGCUACUGGACAACAACUGACGCUGAGGCUCGAAGGCCAGGGUAGCGAAAGGGAUUAGAUACCCCCGUAGUCCCUGUCUCUUAUAC